UACGUUGGGACUCGAUGGAGGAUGUUGCUAACUUCAGCUGUGGAAGAGUGAAUACUGUCUGCACACAUUUGGAAAUUGUAAAGUGAUGGGCUGAGAUUUACCUCCAUUCAAAAUGACAACAGACAGAAAGUGCAUCCUUUGUGAAACCUCCUGCGUUUCCAAGCAGGAGAUGGAGGAGCACAUGAGAAGUAUGCUUCACCACCGUGAACUGGAGAAGCUCAAGGGCCGG